AUGCCAGGGCUCAGGGCUCUAGGAUCACUGCUGGAUCUAGCACCUGAAUGGUGGUAUAUGGCGUCAAUCAGGAAGGCAGGCUGCUGGAACACCUUCCCUUCGUGCACAGGCAGCAAAGAUCCCCUUGAACAAAAUGAGGUAAUAUUUGUGGCCUUCAAAACACUAAGCCAGCUUUCUUGCUUUCUCCCAUUUUCUCUCCCUUUCCUUCUUCCCUCUUUUCCUAGUCCUACCUUCCUUUUUCUUCCCUCUUUUCCUUGUUUCUUUCUUUCUCCUUUCCUUCUUCCCUCUUUUCCUAGUCCUACCUUCCUUUUUCUUCCCUCUUUUCCUUGUUUCUUUCUUUCUCCUUUCCUUCUUCCCUCUUUUCCUAGUCCUACCUUCCUUUUUCUUCCCUCUUUUCCUUGUUUCUUUCUUUCUCCUUUCCUUCUUCCCUCUUUUCCUAGUCCUUCCUUCCUUUUUUCUCCCCUCUUUUCCUUGCUUCUUUCUUUCUCCUUUCCUUCUUUCCUCUUUUCCUAGUCCUUCCUUCCUUUUAAACCUUUACUUUCUCUGUCUUGGAAUCAAUACAGAAAAGUGGAAGGGGUCAGGGAUUGAGGGUUAAGUGACUUGCCAAAGCAGAGGAGAAGAUAAGGGCUGAAAAUAGGGGUUUUAAGGGAUUUGCCUUGAGCCCUACUGCUAGAAAGUGUCUGAGGUCACAUAGGAACCCAGGACUUCCGGUCUCCAGGCCUGGUUCUCAAUCCCCUUUCCCUUUUCACAAACAUCUCUAAAUAAGUUCCGGUCCCUCGCCCGGAGGCUACGGAGACAAAAGUGUGCCUGCCCGCAGGGCGCUUCCAUUCACAAAGUCAAUCGGAGUUAGUCUGGGCCAGAGGAGGAGGGGGAAGAGGAGGAGCGUCGGGGCACCCGUCUAUCUGUCCGUCUGCGUCUGCUAGAAAGCUGCACCUGACCCGCUCGCUGCUCAGGCCAGUUCGGAGCCCUGACCUCGGCCUUCGUUAGGGCCCAUCCAAGGGCUCACGAACCCCUCGGUCUUUGCCUUGGCCUCGCCCCCUCCUCCCCCGCGGGUGCCGGGUCCUUAGGAAGCUCGGGGUAAAUUCUCCCGGUUCAGCUCGGUGUCGCCGCGACCCUGCCCCCCACCCCCAUUCCCAUCGGGGCUGGAGGAGAGGCCCCGGAGGAUGGGAAGGGGGCCGGGGCUGGAAGAAAGGCCCCGCGGCGGGUAGGCUGGCAAGUGGGGAGGGGUAAGGGGGAGGGGGAGGCAGGAGCAAGCAGACUGGCGGGCGGGCAGGCGGGAGGGCACCGCUCUGGGCGCAGGACUUUCUCCGGAAGAAUGAAAACAAUCAGUGCAUUUUCCCCUAAUAAUAGAAAAACCUACAAAGCCCUCCCAGAGGGGGAUGGAAAAAAUGUCUGCUUAUUAUCACCCGAGAGGAGCCCCUGCCCCCUCCCCGCCCCAAAAUGUAAUCAGGAAAAACUUCUAACUUUUUCCUGCCCCCCCCCCUUUUUUUUUGCUAUUUAUCAGCAGAUUGUGCCGGGCUGAGUGGUGUGCGCCUCACCCUGCUAAAUAAAGCUUUGGUAUUUCUGAUAAAGCCA
ensembl:lncRNA